rnacentral:rRNA from 1 species
UUUAUGGAGAGUUUGAUCCUGGCUCAGGACGAACGCUGGCGGCGUGCCUAAUACAUGCAAGUCGAGCGGAGUUAUUCCUUCGGGGAUAGCUUAGCGGCGGACGGGUGAGUAACACGUAGGCAACCUGCCUGCAAGACCGGGAUAACAUUCGGAAACGAAUGCUAAUACCGGAUACGCAGUUUCCUCGCAUGGGGAGACUGGGAAAGACGGCGCAAGCUGUCACUUGCAGAUGGGCCUGCGGUGCAUUAGCUAGUUGGCGAGGUAACGGCUCACCAAGGCGACGAUGCAUAGCCGACCUGAGAGGGUGAUCGGCCACACUGGGACUGAGACACGGCCCA